GAUGAACGCUAGCUACAGGCUUAACACAUGCAAGUCGCGGGGCAGCAUGGGGGUUGCUUGCAAUCCCCGAUGGCGACCGGCGCACGGGUGAGUAACGCGUAUCCAACCUGCCCUUCACCACGGGAUAACCCGGCGAAAGUCGGACUAAUACCGUAUGUUGUCCAUUGACGGCAUCCGAUUUGGACGAAAGGUUUGGCGGUGAAGGAUGGGGAUGCGUCCGAUUAGCUGGACGGCGGGGUGACGGCCCACCGUGGCGACGAUCGGUAGGGGUUCUGAGAGGAAGGUCCCCCACACUGGAACUGAGACACGGUCCAGACUCCUACGGGAGGCAGCAGUGAGGAAUAUUGGUCAAUGGGCGUAAGCCUGAACCAGCCAAGUAGCGUGCAGGAUGACGGCCCUAUGGGUUGUAAACUGCUUUUAUGCGGGGAAAAAGUGGCCCACGUGUGGGUUUUUGCAGGUACCGCAUGAAUAAGGACCGGCUAAUUCCGUG
rnacentral:rRNA from 1 species